rnacentral:rRNA from 1 species
AACGCUGGCGGCAUGCCUUACACAUGCAAGUCGAACGGCAGCACGGGAGCAAUCCUGGUGGCGAGUGGCGAACGGGUGAGUAAUAUAUCGGAACGUGCCCGGUCGUGGGGGAUAACGUAGCGAAAGCUACGCUAAUACCGCAUACGAUCUACGGAUGAAAGCGGGGGAUCGCAAGACCUCGCGCGAUUGGAGCGGCCGAUAUCAGAUUAGGUAGUUGGUGAGGUAAAGGCUCACCAAGCCGACGAUCUGUAGCUGGUCUGAGAGGACGACCAGCCACACUGGUACUGAGACACGGACCAGACUCCUACGGGAGGCAGCAGUGAGGAAUAUUGGACAAUGGGCGCAAGCCUGAUCCAGCCAUGCCGCGUGCAGGAUGACGGUCCUAUGGAUUGUAAACUGCUUUUAUACAGGAAGAAACACUCCGACGUGUCGGAGCUUGACGGUACUGUAAGAAUAAGGAUCGGCUAACUCCGUG